UACGAAGGGGGCUAGCGUUGCUCGGAAUCACUGGGCGUAAAGGGUGCGUAGGCGGGUCUUUAAGUCAGGGGUGAAAUCCUGGAGCUCAACUCCAGAACUGCCUUUGAUACUGAAGAUCUUGAGUUCGGGAGAGGUGAGUGGAACUGCGAGUGUAGAGGUGAAAUUCGUAGAUAUUCGCAAGAACACCAGUGGCGAAGGCGGCUCUCUGGGACGGUACUGACGCUGAGACGCGAAAGCGUGGGGAGCGAACAGG
rnacentral:rRNA from 1 species